AUAAUAUUUUUCGGACUAUUGUUAUAUUACUAUUUUUGCAUCGUAUAUGCAUAUUUAGAUCGGAUUAUGAUAUAUCUAUUAUAUUACAAAAGAAUUUUGAUGUACAUCAGAUUUAGAACUCUCAGCCUGGCUAUGUUCUGGACCCUGCCAAUAGGGGGUUAUGCAUUGGCAAUUCUGGCCCCACCACUGGGUAUAAGUGUGGUAUUCUGGCCCACUCCGCAGGGUAUAAGUGCGGUUCUGUUUCUGGCCUAGCCACAAGGUAUAAGUGUGGUCGUAGCUAAAGGCUGAUGAGAUGAAUAUGAUUUGUUUCGAAUUAGAUUUAUGAUUAUGUAUAUAGAUAUUUGAAAAAUACGAAUUUUAAUGAAUUUGUGCUUGAAAAGGAAUUGAUUAUGUUAUUAUGUUGAUUCAUUGUAAUUUGUAUUUAUAUUUUAUGUUAUUAUAUGAAUUGACUAGUUAAGGUGUUUAUUACUUACUGGGCUGUCUAGCUCAUUAUAUAAUUUCUUGUUGUUUUACAGAUUCUGAGAACUAACCUAUCAGAGAUUUAAAAUGGAAGAGCGACUAGAAGAACUGAAGCACAAGUUAUCCUAGAUUAGGCUUUAUUUAAAUUAAUGUUUUAUCUUUAUUGUUCCGCUGCGUAUUUAGAACUGUAAGACUAUAUAAUUUGGGUCAGUCAAUAAAGUAAGAUUGCAUUUA
rnacentral:lncRNA from 1 species